GUGAACGCUGGCGGUAGGCCUAACACAUGCAAGUCGCACGGCAGCACAGUAAGAGCUUGCCCUUACGGGUGGCGAGUGGCGGACGGGUGAGGAAUACAUCGGAAUCUACUUUUUCGUGGGGGAUAACGUAGGGAAACUUACGCUAAUACCGCAUACGACCUACGGGUGAAAGCAGGGGAUCUUCGGACCUUGCGCGAUUGAAUGAGCCGAUGUCGGAUUAGCUAGUUGGCGGGGUAAAGGCCCACCAAGGCGACGAUCCGUAGCUGGUCUGAGAGGAUGAUCAGCCACACUGGAACUGAGACACGGUCCAGACUCCUACGGGAGGCAGCAGUGGGGAAUAUUGGACAAUGGGCGCAAGCCCGAUCCAGCCAUACCGCGUGGGUGAAGAAGGCCUUCGGGUUGUAAAGCCCUUUUGUUGGGAAAGAAAAGCAGCAGGUUAAUACCCCGCUGUUCUGACGGUACCCAAAGAAUAAGCACCGGCUAACUUCGUG
rnacentral:rRNA from 1 species